CCAGAGACACAGACAAAGGUCUGGAGAAAUAAUUGGAGAUGUGCAUGGAAUAUUAAAUUAAUUUGUGGCUCUUAAUUCCUAUGCAAAUCCUGACCUCUGAUAGAGACUAUCAAUUACCCUGCACAGAAUGAAAAAGAAAGGAGACUGUUUCUUUUUUUCCCCCCCUUUUUUUGUUUAAGAACGUAACAUAGAGAAAUAUUUGAAAUAAGCAGUGAGCUUGUAUAGAAGCCUGAACCUUGUGGAGUUGUUUAAUUGAAUCCCUAAACUUGGAAUAAUGCCUCAAGAGAAUAAAAACUGCAUUCACUGAAAUGAAUAAAGAAAGAAGUAAGAUGUUUGGCUUAACAGGUCGUACAUCUGUGACUGUUGAGAAGAGAUCUCAGUAAAAACACAUGCUUCUACUCGUAAACAGCUAAGGGGUGAAUUACACUGAGUCUCAUGAAGAAAUGUCUCAGGUUUCCUGGUAUGGAGAAGUAGGAGACCUCUACAGUGACGCACAACAGAAGACAAAACAGACGAUAAAGAUGCUAAAUAACAAAGAAGAGAGAUGCUGGAGAAGGAAAAACCUUACCUUGCUCAUCCAGCAAGCAAGUUGCAGCAUCCCAUGCCAGGCUGGUGUGAUCUGACUGGAACAGAGGGGAUUUUUUUUCUGGAAGGAAAGCGAAAAGGUACUUAAACUUCAUGAAGAGGUUUGAAUCAGUCGAUUGGGAUCAGUACUGCCAUACGCACCUUGCAAGGGAAGAAGAAGGAUGCCUUAGUCUGACUGCCCUUGGUUU